rnacentral:rRNA from 1 species
UUUAUAAACUUGGACUCUAAUUGGUGUUGGUUUAGGGUUUUUCUUUUUGUCUUGGUUUUUAGGGUGAAAUCGGAAAUUUUUGUUGUUAGUGCCCUAAUCUUUAAAGUUUGACGAAUGAGUCAGAUUAGUACCUGAUUAAACAAAAAUUAAAAAAGCAGGAGUAAAGUUGUAUUUAAACUGUAAGAGUAUUGGCAGGUUCUUGAAUUAUCUUUGGAGGUUGAGUAGUAAUUGAGAGCCCUCAUUAACAACUUUUGCUAUAGGCGCAUGUAUGAUCGCUUAUUUUAUUUUUAAGAAUUGUAAUAUUAGAUAAUUUAUUCUCUGUUAAAGUAGAUAGAUAUUUGGUGUAUGUAAAAGAUUUAAUUUGACCUACAAUAUAUUGUUUUGUGGAUACUUUCCUAGUAGAAAGUUGAAAAUGUAAAAGACAGUAAAUUUUUUUUUAUGUAAGAUUGAAGUUUACUCAAGAACGGUACAAAUCAUCCAUCAAUUGCCUCUA